AUAUCGAGUGAGUCACGACCUGUCAUUCAAAUGUCAAUCAACUGUUUCUUCGGAUUGCACCUGGUGGCUUUCUCACGGUGUGGAUUUCCGGGGAGAAAUCGCAGGAGUAACGUUUUUCACGUCUUCAAAGAAAGCUCGUGAUUGGAUUAUUUCCACGUGAUUCUCUCUUCUCUCUGGUUCUUUAAGUCUCGUAUUGGCUGUCACUAGGAUGUGGUGAUACAGAAAACCGCCUUCGGGUUCGUCGUCAGCGGCAGAUUUUCCCACAUGAAGGUUGACAGGAGGAUCGGAAAGGCCACAUGCUCACGUAGCAAGACUCGAGUGCUGGAGAACUCUGGCAAAUUGUCCGUCAACAACAACAACAAGACGAAGAUGGAGGGGUACGCUGCAUGCGUUAUCGGCACACUGAAGGAGUGGAACUUUGUAAACCUGUGCAAAGCAGGAGAAAUUCAUAGAAUGAAUGCCUUCCUCGUGAGAUGCAUCUGCCGUUUCCUGAGAAUAUGGUGGAAGGAAAAAUCCUGAACACACUAAGUGUUGUGCCGUGCCGGCCUCCCAAACAGUACAGCGCAGACAUCGCUGGCCAGGCCACGUUCUUUGAAUCUCGAAACAAUCUCUACGGAGAAGUCGGGUCACUGGUAAGGUUGUCGUCCGAAGACAUCUACAAAAGGGACUGGAAGGUCAUCACAAGUUAUCGAUCCAGUUUGAAACACAUACUGUCCAGAAAGCACGACUGAGAAGCAAGGAAUGAUUGCCUCCACCUGGCCACCGAUCCUUAACUUCUCCGGCCAGGUAAGGUAACUCAACUCAGCGCCCGCCUGCUCCUACCGUCGUCAUGUCGCUGGACGAUCGCCCAAACAGUGGACGCUGAAAACGAGGUCGGGGCUGUAGGAUGAUGUCAGGAGCAGGAUUAUCAUGAAGAAGGGACGACGAGGAGCGGAUAUGAGAUGAAGCGAUAGGUCGGGCUAGAGCGAUCCACACAGCUCCUACCACCGCAAGGGAUGUUGCUGAUGCCUAUCACUGGACGACGAGCUGUAUCACUGAAGGGAACGACGUCCGUGUGCAAAUUGCAACGAUGGGACCGAAGGUGGGGGCCGUGCAAAACCCGGAACAACGUCGCCCUACAGAACAAGGCCAUGAGAAGGAAGUGCCAGACCGGAGCAGAGCCACGUACAGCCAAGCGAUUGCACUGCUACAACUAUCGAAAAAAUGACACCAGUUAGAGAAUUCAUGGACUGACGUUCACGUGUUGUCUGCGUUAUUUGACUUAUACGAAUAUGUAUUGUCUAUUCUAUCAUGUGUAUCAAAGAAUAUACAUUCAAGUAGUGUAAUUGACUCAGACGAAGACGGGCAAAAUCAAACUAAGGGUGGAUUUUCGAAUGAAAACGAUACAAACGUACGUAAGGUCUCAUUGAUGAGUUUUUAACUGCAUUGGAAAUAAUGCAGAGAUACGUGUUUUACAU